rnacentral:rRNA from 1 species
AUCCUGGCUCAGGGACGAACGCUGGCGGGGUGCCUAAUACAUGCAAGUCGAGGGGACCGAUGGGAGCUUGCUCCCUGAGGUUAGCGGCGGACGGGUGAGUAACACGUGGGUAACCUGCCUGUAAGACUGGAAUAACUCCGGGAAACCGGGGCUAAUACCGGAUGCUUGAUUGAACCGCAUGGUUCAAUCAUAAAAGAUGGCUUCGGCUAUCACUUACAGAUGGACCCGCGGCGCAUUAGCUAGUUGGUGAGGUAACGGCUCACCAAGGCGACGAUGCGUAGCCGACCUGAGAGGGUGAUCGGCCACACUGGGACUGAGACACGGCCCAGACUCCUACGGGAGGCAGCAGUAGGGAAUCUUCCGCAAUGGACGAAAGUCUGACGGAGCAACGCCGCGUGAGUGAUGAAGGUUUUCGGAUCGUAAAACUCUGUUGUUUAGGGAAGAACAAGUACCGUUCGAACAGGGCGGUACCUUGACGGUACCUAACCA